rnacentral:misc_RNA from 1 species
UCGUACAAUGGGAGGCACCGGAGCUGUCGCUGGCCUUUUCCUUUCAAGGUUGUGCACGCCCCGAGUGUUCUCAUCCACACACAUCCACCUCACCUUUGUGCAUCACCGCGUGGGCUCCUCAAAGAGGGGCUUGCGUUCUUACGCAUACACCCUUUUGAAUGCACCGUAGGAUGUCUUGCUUUUAUUAAUAAAUGCAAUCAAUA